AAUCCAUAGGUUAAUGAGGCGAACCGGGGGAACUGAAACAUCUAAGUACCCCGAGGAAAAGAAAUCAACCGAGAUUCCCCCAGUAGCGGCGAGCGAACGGGGAGGAGCCCAGAGCCUGAAUCAGCAUGUGUGUUAGUGGAAGCGUCUGGAAAGGCGCGCGAUACAGGGUGACAGCCCCGUACACAAAAGCGCAUGUGCUGUGAGCUCGAUGAGUAGGGCGGGACACGUGGUAUCCUGUCUGAAUAUGGGGGGACCAUCCUCCAAGGCUAAAUACUCCUGACUGACCGAUAGUGAACCAGUACCGUGAGGGAAAGGCGAAAAGAACCCCGGCGAGGGGAGUGAAAAAGAACCUGAAACCGUGUACGUACAAGCAGUGGGAGCACCCUUUGGGUGUGACUGCGUACCUUUUGUAUAAUGGG
rnacentral:rRNA from 4 species